GGAAUUUUGCGCAAUGGGGGAAACCCUGACGCAGCAACGCCGCGUGCGGGACGAAGGCCCCCGGGUCGUAAACCGCUUUCAGCAGGGAAGACCACGACGGUACCUGCAGAAGAAGCUCCGGCUAACUACGUGCCAGCAGCCGCGGUACUACGUAGGGGGCGAGCGUUAUCCGGAUUCAUUGGGCGUAAAGCGCGCGUAGGCGGCCGCCUAAGCGGAACCUCUAACCCCGGGGCUCAACCUCGGGCCGGGUUCCGGACUGGGCGGCUCGAGUGCGGUAGAGGAGAGCGGAAUUCCCGGUGUAGCGGUGGAAUGCGCAGAUAUCGGGAAGAACACCGAUGGCGAAGGCAGCUCUCUGGGCCGUCACUGACGCUGAUGCUCGAAAGUGUGGGUAUCAAACAG
rnacentral:rRNA from 1 species